GCCUGGGUGGCUCAGUCGGUUGAGCAUCUGACUCAGGUUGGUUUGGGCUCAGGUUCGUGAGUUUGAGUCCCACAUCGGGCU
rnacentral:tRNA from 1 species